UACAGAGGGGGCAAGCGUUGUUCGGAAUUACUGGGCGUAAAGGGCGCGUAGGCGGCCGACUAAGUCAGACGUGAAAUCCCCAGGCUUAACCUGGGAACUGCGUCUGAUACUGGAUGGCUCGAGUUCGGGAGAGGGAAGUGGAAUUCCAGGUGUAGCGGUGAAAUGCGUAGAUAUCUGGAGGAACACCGGUGGCGAAGGCGGCUUCCUGGACCGACACUGACGCUGAGGCGCGAAAGCCAGGGGAGCAAACGGG
rnacentral:rRNA from 1 species